rnacentral:lncRNA from 10 species
GUUUUCAGCCUCAGGGAGCUCUAGUGGAGAGACAAGAUUCGUGCAUGAAAUAAUUACGACUGUUGUAGAAAAAAGAAAAGCCUGUAGGUCUCCCUUCCUCCCUCCUUCUCUCUGUCUACCUCAGCAUUUCUGGGGUUCACUCUGCUCUGGGUACUGUGUAAAGGACUCCACAGCCAUCAACUUCCCUUCAUCCUUGCCGUGUCUUUGAAAGAGCUGAGAUUUCUUUACAUCACAGUGGUUCAAGGAGAAAAACACAGCCAGAUCCUUCCUCAUCUCAACAUAAAUUAAACCCAGAGGCAGUCAGCGCCACAGUCCACACUCGUAACCGUUACACUCACCUGGAAAUAAAAGUAUUUUUGUGCGGGGACUGCAAGGACUAAGCCCGGCCGCACUCCGAGUUUCUCCUCCUCACAGAUAGGGGCUGAGGCUCAGAGAGGGCAAGUGACCUGCCCAAAGUCACACAGCCGUGACUCAUUGCUCAGGUGAGGAAACUGAGGCUCAGAGAGGGUCCGUGGCAUGUCCAAGGUUACUCUGCUGUUAAUUGUUUUCUUGGCACUCUCUCCCUUCUCACCUGUGACUACCUGAGUGUCCCCAGAGGCAAGGAACUAUGUGAGCCACUCCAGUGUUCCCAGCCCCAAGGCCAGGCACAGUGGACAUUUAUUGCUGAAUGAAUGAAUCAAGAGAGAGGAUCAGAAAGCUGCAGAGGAUGAUAGAUCUGCAAAAUUCUCCCUGGGUGAGGCCCAGGCUCAGCUUCCAGAACAGCUCCAUCUGUCUCCCACUCACUGAGAUUGAACUAAUGUCCCACAGUUGGACAGACCUGAAAUUGAGCUCUGUGAUUUUGGAUGUGCCUUUUGCCUUCCACGGUGAUUGUGAGGCCUCUCAAGCCACGUGGAACUAUGGAGUCUCAAUAUGCUGCCCAGGCUGGAGUGUGGUGGUGCCAACAUAGCUCAUUGCAGCCUUGAACACCCAGGCUCAAGUGAUCCUCCUAUCUCAGCCUCCCAAGUAGCUGGGACUACAGGUGCUCCAUUAAAUCAGGAACCUUGUUGCUUCUGGUAUCUGGGGUGUCCCACCGCUACCCCCAUGUGAGUGCCUGGCACAUAUAGAUACUUGAUACCUGCUUGCUGAAUAAAUGAAUAAGUGCAACUUGACUGGAUGAUGAGAGGCACAGCUGAGUCCGGAGCAGACUGAGCCACCUAAGAGGGGAGGAACCGCUGCAGAGAAACCGUGUUAAGCCUUUUUGAAGUUCCAGAGGGAGAACAAGAGAGCGGAGGCUCCUGGUGGCUGGUGACAGGAGGUCUCUUCUAAGUGCCUUUCACCUAACAGCAUCCUGCCCUGGAGGAGACUUCCAAGCAUGAUUGGAGCUCCCAAUCCGAUGGGGGAGACAGGACACACAUACGUGUAAUAAGAGUGUCCCCUGUGAGGCUGCUGCUGAGAGAAGCUCUGGGAAGUGUUCCUGAGAGUGGCUUCCCAUGGAGUUUGGAGGAGGAGGAGUGGGCCAAGCAGGGAAGGACCAAGAGGUCACCUUCUCCUUUCCAGCCCCAGAUGCCUUUGGCAGGAGCUGGUCCGGGCCUGGAAGGCAGUGCACGCCCACAGCGCCCUCUGCUGAACGGUAUCAGAACAGCAGGCUUGGAGGGCGAAGGCAAUUCCUGCAAAGGAUCCCUGGUUUCCUACCCAUGGGAAACCCCAGAUUCUGAAGCCAGGAAUGAAGGGUAGAUGGAGCCUGGGUCAGCACCCGAGAGGACCCAUAUGUGCAACCUGGAGGAUCUUGGAGCUUGGGAGUAGCGUAGGGGGUGGUUAGUUCAGUUCGGGAUGGCUGAGGAAGCCGUUUUAAACAACUUUCACCGAGAUCUUACUGAGGGCUCAGGAACUUGGCAUGGCCACCAUCCUGGGUAUCCAGGGCCCCUCCUUCCCCCAGGCUAGGAGAGGAACCCCUCCCAGCAGAUGCCUUCCCAGACUACCCUUGUCUCACUUAUCAUAGAGGACGUGUGCCGCCUUCCUUCUCCCAGGCCCUGGAUCUGGGGUUGCUGGACUUGGUGCGUGGGUGGUCUGGAUGCUUCUAGGAUGAAUUCAUAAUUGGGAGAUUCUAGGUGAUGCUCAGAUGGAAAUGAGGGCAACUGCUGCUUGAUGGCAGAACAACAGAGCUUGGCAGAGCUAGGCUGGACUCGACUUGGCAUUUUCUCUCCGUUUCAGACCAGGAUACGGAUUAAUUGAGCCCAGCGGAGCUCAGGUUUCCCGGGGCGGGGGGCAAGCAGUGCCUUGGAGGGAGUGGGGUACUGUGGGACGGAGGACCCAGGAGACCCAGAAUCCUGAACUGUCGGGCUGACUUCGUCUCCUACAGAGUUCUUUAACCCAGGAGCCCCGAGAACCUGCUUUCCUCAAUGUGUUCUUCACCCGUGAGGGACUAGGACAUCCUAAUUGCCAUCCCAGCAGGACACACACACAGACACACACACACACACACACACACACACACACACACACACACACAAAACUGGCCUUUACAGGAUGCACAGUGGAGGAAAAGAACAAAGAAGCACGUGUCUUACAAAGGGAGAGGCAGUGCCAGGCUCAUAGAAGUCAGUGAGGUACUACAAAGGGGACGUCAGGUCCCCCCAGCAGCCUAGAGCCAUGGUGAGGGCCAGGGAGAGGGCUUGUCUAUCACAGUGACAGUCCAUUAUCCAGCUGAACAUCACCUAGGAGGGCCAUGCAUGUGAACAGGGUUUCUGUUUACCAUGUCAGCUUCAGCCUGGGGGCUCCUCCAAUUUUUCCCAUUAGGAGCCCUUAGCACAUCGCUGCAAUGUUUCUGGCUUAUUGGGAAUUCCUAUUAUAGUCCAUUGUCCUCCCUCAAAUCUGAAAAGGGAUGAUUGAUUUUGAGGAAACAAGGCAAGUUGCUGAAGGAUUUCUAAAUGAGCCUUAUGUUUGAUUUUGGGGUCAGUCUGUGUGGGUUCCAAGACAAGAUGGUGGCUGGUAAUGAUUUUCAAAUAAAUAUAUUUUGUGAUCACGAAUUGCCUCCGGGAGAAAUCUGAAAUGUGGCAAGCAGCUCAGGAGAGACACUGCUGCAGGUGCCGUCAGUGCCUUGCUGCAGCCCCUUGGCGUGUUUCAGGUCAGUGCACUUGGGCCUGACUCCCAUCUGCCAGCACCUGCAUCUCUUUCUUUUUAAAAAAGCCAAAAAAAUCAGUUUCAUGGUUCAUCUUGCUAAUUUCAAACCAAAUGUACUAAAAAAAAUGUGGGUUACCCUUUGUAAUUUAGGCUUUCUCUAUUCAAUAAUGAUACAUCCUGGUCAUUUAUUAUUACAGAGGUCUUGGAAUAGUAGAUAGCAUAUCUGGAACUUUAAAAUCUGCAAAGAUACUGUACGCAUGUCUCAAUCAUUUGUGCAGGGGAGGUGCCAGGGUUGAAGGAAACGCAUGGUAGACACUGCAUCAUGUUCUCCUUUUAUUAGCACGAGUGCCUACCUUUCUUUGCCUGGCAGCUUUCUCGCGGGCUGCAGGAGCCUGCUCAGCUGGUGCACCUGUGCUAGACCAGAAGCACCAAGGAAUGAAUCCUCCAGAGUGGCCUUCCCCAAGGGCUGAGUGGAGCUGGUGUACACGCACCCCGUUCCUUCACUGUGAGCUUUGGGGUGUGCAUCUACUCUGACUCCCAGAGUUACCAGUGGGGCGAGGGUCCACACCUGUAGCAGUAAUCUCCUUGGUAACCUUCCCUUUACUGGUGUUCUUUGCGUUCCUAUUUCACUUCCACAUUUCCUUAAGGGUAUUUUCUGGAAUCACCCAAAUAAACUAUUUGCAC